UCCUUUGUAGAUAAUGCCGUCGUUAG
rnacentral:piRNA from 1 species